AUGAUAUUGAGAGCAAACAGAUGUUUUCUUAAGUUCCAUGCUUCUCAUAUUUCUCUCCUGAGGAGAAAAAAAGCCAGUAUAAUGUCAUCAAGGAUUCCAGUGAAUGCUCGACAGUAUCCCAAAAUGUGCUCAAGAUACAUGUGUCUGCGGUCAAAUAGGAAGUUAAGUCCCUCUGGAAUCAGAUUAUUUGACUUGCAUGUUGUCUUUAACUUGACUCCUAAUAACCUCGCUGGACCCCACAACUAUCCUCCUGGCAUGGAUCGCUGGACAUUUCAGAAGAGCAAGGAAUAUUAGGACUGGAGAAUUACAGUCCUUCUUUGGAGUUUGUGAGGCUUAUGGAUUCCACCUCACGCCAGACUGCACUUUAUUUUGCAAGAAUUUGAUGCGGUCUGUUUGCCCCAUCCUUGUUUCAUGUGGCAGCAACCCUUUACACUUCCUUCCCCACAUACUGUAAAGCAAAUUACUUAAUUUAGUGAUAUGAGAAACAUCAGACAGAGACAAAAGCCAAAUGGAGGACGUCAUAGGAAAUGGGUUUUAAUAAAACAUCCUUCAAAGGCAUUUUGACAUGAUUACACAUGACUAAUGAUUUCAUAAAAUGACUUAAUUAAGUUCACUCUCCUUGGGUGGCAAGUAAAUGCAUAAAUAAAGUGUUGCAUGGGCCUACUAAAUUGUAAAAUCUAAAACAGACAACAUGGAAGUGAUUCAAAUUGCAUGUAUACUGCUACACCACUUUUCCUGACUUGUACCAUGGUAAUACAUUGGAUUUCUUAAAGUACCUCAGAGUACCAUGCAAGUGCAGUUUUUUGUUCUAUGUCGGUAUGGUUCAUCAGAGAACAUCACUAUACUCUGGCAUAGUAUUUUUAUUUUUUUUUGCAAAAGAUACACACCUUCAGAUAACAAUCUUUUCCCCAAUGUAACAAAAGACUUUUUUAGAUUCUUCACAUCUGCCUCACAAAGACCGCAAAUUAAUUUUACUGGAGGCAAUAAGUGAUGUUAACCGUUCAUUUCAAAACCCUUAUCUUUCUUGCCUUUUUAGAGAGAAAAUUGCAUCAAGUUUCUUAUCUGGGUGUAGUGGAUAAUUAGGGAAAUACCUAGAGUUAAUCCAAGCAUGGGAGAAGCAGGAGCUGGGGUGGGACGGCGGGGGGGUUACCGGCUUGUUGUGACUGUGUGGGUUCCUGGCAUGCUGAUUUAUGACUGUAGGGAAAAAUCACAUUGCCAGGGAUUACCACACUGCCAUGGCCUUACCAACAGUUCAUGAGGAAAUGGACAAAAAAUGGAGGAAAUUUGGAAAAAGGGCACCUGACAUGGUGGAAUGAGAAAGGGGAACUCCAUUAGGGUGUUUAUACUCAAACAGCAAGACAAAAGUAUUUGUGAUGGGGUUCUGAGCGGGUGCAGAGCUUAGCUGAUUGGUGAACGUGCACUGUUUGCUUUUUUUGUUCACAGUGGCUAAGUUCUUCACCUGAAAAGAAACUGCAGCUUUUUUCUGUUGGAAAGCCUAUGUCCUGUAUAUGUGCUAUCAUGGCAAAGAUACCGAUAAUAUAUGUAAAUAUCCUUCUGAAAAAUAAGUACACUUUAGCAUACUUUUAAAAAGGACAUUUAUGACGGAAAUAAUAUCAUUUAAAAUAAUAUACUUAGGUGUGAACUGAAUGUAAUGUUUUUUUAGGUAUGCAAUCAAAUGUUUAUUGCAAAAAAAUUAUUAUAGUUUAAAUUUCAAUUAAAUGCAAAUAGCUGAACUUUAGAGUACUUUAUUUCAUAAUUACUUUAUUAUGGAAAACUAAAAUCUACAUUAAUGUAAUCUCUUUUGAAACUUGCAUGUCAUAAUUAAAUAUUUGAAAUGAUGAAGUUGCAAUCUAGUACAUUUAAAAAAAAUAUUAACCAUAAAUGUAAUAUGGAAUAAUGCACUACUGUUAAAAUUAUAAUUUGCAUGUUCUUUAGUAUGAUAGCCAACU
rnacentral:lncRNA from 1 species